rnacentral:rRNA from 1 species
ACACCAGCACCUCAAGUGGUCAGGAUGAUUAUUGGGCCUAAAGCAUCCGUAGCCGGCUCUGUAAGUUUUCGGUUAAAUCUGUACGCUCAACGUACAGGCUGCCGGGAAUACUGCAGAGCUAGGGAGUGAGAGAGGUAGACGGUACUCGGGAGGAAGUGGUAAAAUGCUUUGAUCUCUCGAUGACUACCUGUGGCGAAGGCGGUCUACCAGAACACGUCCGACGGUGAGGGAUGAAAGCUGGGGGAGCAAACCGUAUUAGAAACCCCAGUAGUCC